AUAUGUUUGCUUGCCAUUUUCAUUUUCAUUUUCAUGGUUUUUCUUUUUAUGAGCACCAUCAAAUUUUCUUUUUCUUUUUGAUUCCCGAUUGGUGCAACAAGUGGAACAACACGAACGAGU
rnacentral:ribozyme from 16 species